rnacentral:tRNA from 2 species
GGGCAGCUGGCGCAUGAGGAUGCGCUCCCGCAGCACGGCGGGAGGGAGCAGGUUCGACUCCUGCGCUGCUCUCCA